UACGUAGGGUGCAAGCGUUGUCCGGAAUUAUUGGGCGUAAAGAGCGUGUAGGCGGCCCGAUUAGUCCGCUGUGAAAGUCCAGGGCUCAACCCUGGAAUGCCGGUGGAUACUGUCGGGCUAGAGUCCGGAAGGGGCGAGUGGAAUUCCUGGUGUAGCGGUGAAAUGCGCAGAUAUCAGGAGGAACACCGGUGGCGAAGGCGGGUCUCUGGGCAGUAACUGACGCUGAGGUGCGAAAGCGUGGGGAGCAAACAGG
rnacentral:rRNA from 1 species